CAGCCAACCACGUGAUCUCUGCUGCCGGCAAAAUACAAAACUUCGGCAGUCAUCAUAAAGCGGAUUUAUACUUCUGGAAGCCAGAAAAGAAAGAAAAGAAAGGAAGAGGAGUAUAAGAAAAAACAAGAUAGUGGUUCUUUGCUUAAAUUUCUCAGCGCGCAGGCUCUUCCUAAAGAUACAUCCACUGAUGAAGCUACACCAUCAACGUCAUCCUCAACAUCAACAGAUGCAUCACUUCUCAGUGCUGAUGUUUCUUCUAUAGCACAAGGUACCACAAGCUCUAUAAUUAUAGCUGAUAUCAUGCACAGCCCAGAGUUUAAACUGAUAAGUGUGUGCUGUCAUAUUGUUAGAAAAAAAACAGUGCAAAUCACUAUUGAAUUCCCACCAAACUGUGUAAAUAAACAUUAAACUGUAAACCUUAAACUGUAUGGCUAUGCUGUGGUUCCUGUAGGCUUUGCGUGCGUGUGGGGGGGCCUCCAUGUCCAUUUUGCUUGGGGCCCCCAAAUUCCUUCAAACGGCCCUGCUGAAAG